rnacentral:rRNA from 1 species
GACGAAUGCUGGCGGCGUGCUUAACACAUGCAAGUCGAACGGAAAGGCCCUGCUUUUGUGGGGUGCUCGAGUGGCGAACGGGUGAGUAACACGUGAGUAACCUGCCCUUGACUUUGGGAUAACUUCAGGAAACUGGGGCUAAUACCGGAUAGGAGCUCCUGCUGCAUGGUGGGGGUUGGAAAGUUUCGGCGGUUGGGGCUGGACUCGCGGCUUAUCAGCUUGUUGGUGGGGUAGUGGCUUACCAAGGCUUUGACGGGUAGCCGGCCUGAGAGGGUGACCGGCCACAUUGGGACUGAGAUACGGCCCAGACUCCUACGGGAGGCAGCAGUGGGGAAUAUUGCACAAUGGGCGGAAGCCUGAUGCAGCAACGCCGCGUGCGGGAUGACGGCCUUCGGGUUGUAAACCGCUUUCGCCUGUGACGAAGCGUGAGUGACGGUAAUGGGUAAAGAAGCACCGGCUAACUACGUG